ensembl:lncRNA
UCUCAUUUGUAAGUCGCUUUGGAUAAAAGCGUCUGCUGAAUGAAUAAAUAUGGUGGUGAUGAUAGUGGUCUUGAAGUUGAUAAUGAUGGUGGUGGUUUGUCGGUGUUCAUAGAGCUUAUGAUUAUGAUAGAGUCUUUAUUUUUCACAUGCACAGUAUCUUUUAUUCGCAUACCUCACCAUGUCAGGAAGUUGAGGUCAGAGUGCAGGGUCAGCCAUGAUACAGUGCCCCUGGAGCAGAGAGGGUUAAGGGCCCAACAGGGGCAUUUUGGCAGUGCUGGGGCUUGAACCCCCGACCUUCUGAUCAGUAACCCAGAGCCUUAACCACCAAGCCACCACUGCCCCCGAUGAUGAUGAUGAUGAUGAUGAUAAUGAAGAUGGUGGUGAAGAUAAGUUGGUGGAAACAAUGAUAAUGAUGGUUGAUGAAGGUGAUGGUUUUGUUAACAGUGGAAAAUGGAGUGAUGCUGACAGUAAGGCUGAUGAUGAUAAUGAAGAUGGAGAGUUAGAGAAUAAUGGUUCUGGUGUUUUUUGGUGGAUGCUGAAGCUUUUAUAAUGAUGACGGUGAUGAUGAUGGUGAUGAUGAUGGUGGUGGUGAUAAAGUUCAUGGUAUUGUUAGUAAUAAUGAUUAUGUUCAUGAGGAUGAUGAGGAUAAAGUUGAUGAUGAUUAAGUUCAUGGUAUUGUUUGGGAUGAUGAUGAUGAUGAUUAUGAUCAUAGUUUUGAUGAUGAUGGAGAUGACAGUGAUGAUGGUUAUGAUGAUGAUGAUGAUGAUGAUAGUGGUGAUUAUGAGAUGGCAAAGAUGAUGGUGGUGGUGAUGAUGAUGAUGAUGAUGAUAGUGCUGGUGGAGCUCAUGAUGAUGAUAACCAUGAUGAUGACAAUGAUUAUGGUCAAGAUGGCUUUGUUGAUUAUAAUUAUAAUGAUAAUGACAAUGGUGAUGUUAGUGGUGUUCAUGGUAUUGUUGGUAGAUGCUGAGAAUAACUUUUAUAAUGAUGAUAAAGUUUGUUGUAUUGUUGGUGAUGAUGAUGAUUAUAAUAAUGAUGUUCAUGAACUGAUGAUGAUGGUGGAAAUGAUGAUGAUUAUGAUGAUGAUGAUGAUAGUAGUGGUAAUGAUGAUGGUGAUGAUGAAGAUAGUAGUGGUAAUGAUAAUGAUGGUGAUGAUGAUGGUGGUAAUGAUGAUGAUGGUGAUGAUGAUGAUGAUGAUGGUGAUGAUGAUGAUGAUGGUGAUAGUGGUGGUAAUGACGAUGAAGAUAAUGAUCAUGAUGGUGAUAGUGGUGGUAAUGAUGAUGGUGAUGAUGAUGAUGAUGAUGAUGAUGGUGAUGAUGAUGAUGAUGGUGAUGAUGAUGAUGGUGAUGGUGGUAAUAAUGAUGAUGGUGAUGAUGAUGAUGAUGAUGGUGAUAGCGGUGGUAAUGAUGAUGAUGGUGAUGAUGAUGAUGAUGGUAAUGAUGAUGAUGGUGAUGAUGAUGAUGAUGGUGAUAGUGGUGGUAAUGAUGAUGAUGGUGAUGAUGAUGACAAUGAUGAUGAUAGUGGUGGUAAUGAUGAUAAUGAUGAUGAUGAAGAUGGUGAUAGCGGUGGUAAUGAUGAUGAUGGUGAUGAUGAUGAUGAUGAUGGUGAUAGUGGUGGUAAUGAUGAUGAUGGUGAUGGUGAUGAUGAUGAUGAUGAUAUGAUGGUGAUAGCGAUGGUAAUGAUGAUGAUGAUGAUGAUGAUGAUGAUGAUGGUGAUGAUCAUUAUGUGACAGUGGUGGUAAUGAUGAUGAUGAUGGGUGAUGAUGAUGAUGAUGAUGAUGAUGAUGAUGAUGAAGGUGAUGAUGAUGAUGGUGAUGGUGAUGAUGAUGGUGAUGUGGUGGUAAUGAUGAUGAUGAUGAUGGUGAUGAUGAUGAUGGUAAUGAUGAUGAUGAUGAUAAUGAUGAUGGUGAUAGUGGUGGUAAUGAUAAUGAUGAUGAUGAUGAUGAUGAUGAGUGUGGUGAUAAUGAUGAUGAUGAUGAUGAUGAUGAUGAUGGUGAUGAUGAUGAUGAUAAUGAUGAUGAUGAUGAUGAUGAUAGUGGUGGUAAUGAUGAUGAUGAUGAUGAUGUGAUGAUGGUGAUGGUGAUAAUAAUGAUGGUGAUAGUGGUGGUAAUGAUGAUGAUGAUGAUGAUAGUGGUGGUAAUGAUGAUGAUGAUGAUGGUGAUAGUGGUGGUAAUGAUAAUGAUGAUGAUGAUGAUGAUGAUGAUAGUGGUGGUAUGAUAAUGAUGAUGAUGGUGAUGAUGAUGAUGAUGAUGAUGAUGAUGGUGAUGAUGAUGGUGAUAGUGGUGGUAAUGAUGAUGAUGGUGGUGAUGAUGAUGAUAGUGGUGGUAAUGAUGAUGAUGAUGGUGAUAGUGGUGGUAUGAUAGUGGUGGUAAUGAUGAUGAUGAUGAUGAUGAUGAUGAUGAUGAUAGUGGUGGUAAUGAUGAUGAUGA